UUUAAAUUUAGGCUUAAAGGAAUAGUUUGACAUUUUAAAAUGUGCUUCUUGUCAUUCGCUGUAGAAAAAAAAAAUGUGCAGGAUUAUACAAACAAGGUUGUGUUAAUUACUGUGAGGACAAUUUUGUUACCUUUGAUCAAAGCCAGGCUAGCUGUUUCCCCGUUUCUACUCUUUAUGCCAAGCUAAACUAACCAGCUGCUGUUCUGUGGCCUCAUAUUUAGUGCACAGACAUGUGAGUGGUAUUGAUCUUGUUAUUAAAUUCUUGGCAUGAAAGCAAAAAAGUAUAUUUCCCAAAACGUCAAACUAUUAAUUUCAGGAUUAUUACAUGUAGGUUAUUAUUUUCAUAAUGUGAGUCUGUGUAUGUCAUCAUGGCAAAAUUAACUAUCGCAUAGCAAGAUGAUUUCCACAUUUGCAUAUUGUGACUUUUUUCUCCUUAUAUCUUCUGUGUCAGCUGUGAGCCAUUCCUGUUAGCAGCAACUAACAUUUGUAUCUCAUGUUUAUUUUAUUGUUGGGUCUGACUGCUGUUCAACACUGCUGUCUCUUAACUGUGCAUCAUCAUUAUAUUGUUUUUCUUACCUUGUUCUGGUAGCAGCAGACACUCUUUAUGGGACACACUGCUUUUUGCGAGAGCUCCAUUGCCCUCUACCUUGAGGCUGACACAGUACUCUCUCCCCCAGUGUAGAGAACUGAAAGUCUUAGUCCUCUGAUCCUCUCCCACAUCAUCUUUUAGGUAUGCUGUGGUAUUCUAUGGGGUAAAAAUAAAAAUGCCAUGCAGAUCAAGGCACUGUACAGUAUGAACCACAUUGUACAAUAUAGCCUGGGAUGAGUAAGUUUCAGAAGUUCAGUCAGGCAGGUAGAUGGUGUAGAUGACCCCAUAAUGAAAGAGUUUUUUUAGAAUGGGUUUUUCGUGAACAUAAACUGUGAGAGUGCUGGAAGUAGCCCUCAAAGUGAAGGACGGAGGCUGCAAAUCACCUAUAGGAACAGAAAAUGAAAUUUCUUGGCUGACCACUCAGACUCAUCAUCUCCUGCGACCAGCUUAACUCUGACCUUGUAGCCAGCAUCAUAGUCAUGUAUAUGGCUGCUGAGGUCACAGUAGGUGUUUGUGAUCCCUGUGCAGCUGGCCACCAUGGCCCAUUCAUCAAAGUACCUGAGGACAGAAAACACACCAGUCACCAAAAGGAAAGGAUCAAAAUUUGUGUAUGACAAAAAGUUGUAUAAAAUCCAACAUUUCAAUAAAAGUCAGACUUAGCAA